AUUUUUAUACGACCGCAAAAAAAUUUUUGUGGUCGUAUAUUGGUAUGACGUUGGCGGCGUCGUCGUCGUCGUCGUCAGGCGUCGUCGUCCGAAUACACAUUAGUUUUCGCACUCUAACUUUAGUUUAAGUGAAUGGAUCUCAUUGAAAUUUUACCAUAAGGUUCAAUACCACAAAAGGAAGGUGGGGAUUGAUUUUGGGGGUUAUGGUACUAACAGUUAAGGAAUUAGGGGCCAAAAGGGGCCAAAAAUAAGCAUUUUUGUAACUUCCAGACAUAACUUGUGUGUAAGUGUAUGGAUCUCUCUGACAUUGUACCACAAGGUUCCAUAUCACAAAGGGAAUGCUGGGAUUGAUUUUGGGGGUAAUUGUCUCCAAAUUUUAGGAAUUAGGGGCCAAAAAGGGGCAAAAAACAAGCAUUUUUCUUGUUUCAUGACAAUAACUUGUUUGUAAGUGUAUGGAUCUUUAUGAAAUUGUACUACAAGGUUCCAUAUCACAAAGGGAAUACUGGGAUUGAUUUUUGGGGUAAUUUCCUCCAAAUAUUAGGAAUUAGGGGCCAAAAAACAAGCAUUUUUCUAGUUUCAUGACAAUAACUUGUUUGUAAGUGUAUGGAUCUUUAUGAAAUUGUACUACAAGGUUCCAUAUCACAAAGGGAAAGCUGGAAUUGAGUUUGGGGGUAAUUGCCCUAAACGUUUAGGAAUUUGGGGCCAAAAAACAAGCAUUUUUCUAGUUUCCAGACAAUAACUUGUGUUCAAGUGUAUGAAUCUCUCUGAAAUUGUACUGCAAGGUACCAUACCACAAAGGGAAAGCUGGGAUUGAGUUUGGGGGCGAUAAAUCAUAAGGGGGUUCAAAAAAUUGGGGGGGGGGAUUUUUUUUUUCCUUUUUUUUCUUUAACAUUUUCCAUUUUAAAUUGGUUAUUUCUGAUUUAUAUAUAAAAGCAAAUAAUAAUGAUAUGGUUUGAAUAGGCAUACAUGUGAACCUCCCGACGGGAGUACAAUAAUCCCGUUUUCAGGGGUCUCCUCCCCCCCUCCCGUUGAAAAAAUCCUGUGUAUGAAAUUUUUCAUGAAUGGAAAUUUUUCAUGAAUGAAAAAUUUCUGCCCAACAUAACAUCUCAGGCAUCUGGUGUAACUGACAUUACCUGAAGUUAUAUUUUACCUGUAAAUCAAUUAACAUGCAUAAUUAUAUGGCUUCACUUGUCAGCUUGGGUGUCAAACAUACUGGUAAGCAACGAUUUUUACCUCAGGCUAACUGCCGUUGUGUAACAAAAACUGUGUAUUUAUUGGGUUACUUCCCUUGAUUUAUCCUGUUUUAAGUUACUUUCCUUUUAAUAAUGAAAAUUUUUAAAAGAAUAUAAAUAAAAUAUAAAUUGAACAAAUAAUCAUAAAAGGAUGGUUAUUAAAUGAUUUUAAAUGUCUUAGGACAAAUAAAAAAAUAAUAAUUUGAAAAUUAUUUGAGGAUUCUAUACUUCCUUUUAAGGCUUAAAUUGAAAUUUAUAUAAUAACUAUGACCCUAACUUUACAGAUAGAAUGAAUUUCUGAGUUUACAAAUAAAAACUCUUUGCAAGAGAAAAAAAAAAAAAAUAAAAA